CAGUUUCAUUCUCCAAACUGAAAUAUAACAAGACCAUCCCCAGCUAACUGAUGUCACCAUUAGUGGUUCGACAGAACAUUUAUAUUUGUAAAGUGUCUAUAUCAGGGGCGCUCACACUUUUUCUGCAGGUGAGCUACUUUUCAAUUGAUCAAGUCGAGGAGAUCUACCUCAUUCCUAUUUAUAAUUUAUAUUUAUUUAUUUAUGAAAGAGACAUUUUUGUUAACAUGUUAAUGGUGUUUAAUGAUAAUACAAGCAUGUUUAACACACAUAGAUUCCUUUCUUUCAUGAAGACAAGAAUAUAAGUUGGUGUAUUUGAUUCUGAUGACUUGCAUUGAUUGGAAUUAGACAGUGGUGCUGAUAACGUCCGCAUUUUCAAAUGGAGGAAAAAAAAGUCCUCCUUUCUGUCCAAUACCACAUGAAAGUGGUUGGAUUUGACAUCUCAUUUGUCCAACUUGCCCUACUCGUUUUUAAACACUUUGUUAUGAGAGUAGCAUAUGUGUGUGGCCCUUUAAUGUCUGGCAGCAGGUGAGUGACGUCAGUGAGUGUGCGGGUGGGCAAGCAAGAGAGAAAGCGGUCGCUGAGGGAGGGGGACAAAAAUACAUUGGCAUCAAACUCCGUAGCUUGCUAGCUUGUGCACGCUAGCUUUCUGAGACUAUUAUUUUGUUAGCACAGGCAGGAUGAAACAGGUCUUUUAUGGUGAAGACAGGAACUGUGCAGUCGGUCUUUAGAGUUUUGACAGUAGGUACGGAGUCUCUAGAAAUAAAAUGUGUUUCUCUGCGUCCGCCCUGUUAGUGAUUUUUUUCUUAAAUAUGAGCUCGCAGCAGCCAGCGUCAUCUCACAAGAUCCUCGAGUGCCGAGAAUGUCAAACAACUGACGAAAGUGAAGUCUUGGUAUGAUUGAUGAUUGCUAAUUUUUAUGUCUAUUUUUUAAUGCCUGGCUUGAGAUCGACUGACACACCCUCCGAGAUCGACCAGUCGAUCGCGAUCGACGUAAUGCCCACCCCUGGUCUAUAUUAUUCAGAAUUACUAGUUUUAUAGACUAAAGACUAAACAAAUGAUUCCCGAGUGCCAUCACAGCUGCUGCUCACUGCUCCCCUCACCUCCCAGGGGGUGGAACAACGGGAUUGGGUCAAAUGCAGAGAGUAAUUUCGCCACACCUAAUGUGUGUGUGACUAUCAGUGGUACUUGAACUUUUUAACAUUAAAAAUCCCUCGUUGGUCUGAGGAUUUUUUGGGGCAAUUCACUCAUCGCUAGUCCAAGAGAUACAACGAACAAUUUGUUGUUACGACGGAAUAUACAUUCAAUAAAAGCUAACUGUAGGUAUCCAGGUGGCUAUCAUUAGCUGGCACACAAAGCUAAUGCCUUUGCCUGUUACGCACAAGCGUGGUAUCUGUAAUAGGGCGAUAUAUAAUGCUUAAACACACAGGAAAGUUAGCGCUUUCUAGGUUUUAAACAUCCCCUUUUAGUGGGGACCAGACGUGGGAAACAUACUAUUAUUAUUCGAUAAUGAAUUUAAUCCAGGGGCUAGGAUUUCAUUGUGAAUAUAUUAUGUAUGUAUUUAUAAUUAUUAUAUUGAAUAUUAGUAAUGUACUCUAUAUUAUUCUGAUGUCUUGUAAAUAUUUCUGUGACUGCCUAAGCAUUCGCACGUGUAAGAUUCUACACCCAAAAAAAUCUUCUAUUUCAGAAAAGUUUUUUUAUUUCCAUUGUUUGAGAACGGGUUCACAAACUAGGAAUUUUACUUGGCGCAGUCGUGCAACAUAAAAGACAUAUAACACAGAAUAGAACAACAUGAGCUGUAACUGAGCUAUCAGAUCCUGUUAUUGUUCACGUGUCUGAUAGGCGAGGGGAAAAACUGUUUAGAUGGCGGGAUGUGUGGGUCUGGAUGGACUGUAGUCUCCUGCCUGAGGGAAGAGGGGAGAAUAUUUUGUGUCCAGGGUGAGAAGAGUCAGCUGUGAUCCGACCCACACGCCUCCUGGUCCUGGAGGAGAACAGGUCCAGGAGGGGUGGAAGUUUGCAGCCAAUCAGCUUCUCAGCAGCACGUACCAUGCACUGCAAUCGAUGCUUGUCCCGGACUGUGGCGCCAGGGAACCACACGGUGAUGGAGGGGUUUUUUCAGUUGCCGCAGGAAGUACAUCCUCUGCUGGGCCUUCUUGAUGAGGGAGCUGAUGGUCGGCUACCACUUGAGGUCCUGGGUGAUGGUGGUGCCCAGGAAACGGAUGGAGUCUACAAGGGAGACGGGGGUGGGAGAGUCAAUCAGGGUGAGGGGGGAUGGUGGGGCUGUGACUUUCCGGAAGUCCAUGAUCAUCUCCACUGUUUUCUGGGCGUUCAGCUCUAGGUUGUUGAGGCUGCACCAGGACGCCAGCCGGUCCACCUCUCUCCUGUAGUCGGACUCGUCGCCAUCCGUGAUGAGCCCGAUGAGAGUAGUGUCGUCCGCAAACUUGAACAGCUUCACUGACUGGUGAUUUAUUAUUUUUUUCGCCAUAAAAGGUUGCCGGUGGCCACAGACCACAGUUUUCAUCCGAUCGGAGCCCUUCAAGUAUCAAAACGUUCAGCUCGACCAAGAAUUGUGAGCCCCCCACUCCCCCCAAAAACCCAGAUUACCCAGAAUUCCUAGUUUUCUGGGACAUUUUUUCCAUUGAAAAUGAAUGGGCCAUUUUCCGAAUUUGCACAAUUCCCACACUUCUCACUCGAUUCGAACCGUUCCACCAUCCACAAACUCCACCUGCCUUGGACAAUCAAACUACCACUUUUCUAGUUCUAAACAAUUUCCAAGAAUUGUCUAUAUUCACCUCCCUCUGGAAAGUUUUCACAAUUCCGACCAUUCCACCUUCAAAACAUUCCUCUUAGUUGGGCCAAUUUUUUCGUGCAAGUGCAAACUGAUUUGAAAAAUACCAACACCAACCCUUUCAUAUCUUCUAUGACCAUUGUCCUAGUAUUAACAAAUUAAAAAAUUCCCGGUUUUCCCAAAAUUUCUAGGAAAUUCCUAUCCAAAUAAAUUGACUUAUUUAUAGUUCUACAAUGGGGCUUCACGGUGGCAGAGGGGUUAGUGCGUCUGCCUCACAAUACGAAGGCCCUGCAGUCCUGGGUUCAAUUCCAGGCUGAGGAUCUUUCUGUGUGGAGUUUGCAUGUUCUCCCCGUGAAUGCGUGGGUUCCCUCCGGGUACUCCGGCUUCCUCCCACCUCCAAAGACAUGCACCUGGGGAUAGGUUGAUUGGCAACACUAAAUUGGCCCUAGUGUGUGAAUGUUGUGUGUCUAUCUGUGUUGGCCCUGUGAUGAGGUGGCGACUUGUCCAGGGUGUACCCCGCCUUCCGCCCGAUUGUAGCUGGGAUAGGCGCCAGCGCCCCCCGCGACCCCGAAAUGGAUGGAUGGAUAGUUCUACAAUGCCCAAAGUUCUCAACAUUUUGAGCCACUUUUUACCCGAUUUGGACCUUUCAAUAUUCUUCCAGGAUUUGGAAGGCAAAACAAUGUUCACCAUUCCCAAAACUCCCAGUUUUCUCAGAAUUUCGAGGAUUUUCUCCCCUUCUACAAUGAAUGGUCAAUAUACAAACCUCUGCAUAGUCCACAUUUCUCAUUCGAUUAGAACUGUUCCAACAUCUACACAGUCCACUCAACCUGGACAUUCAAGCAUUUCAUUUCACGCAGUUUGGCGGCUUGUGCACAUAGGUUUUUCACACACAAUUAUUACUGGAAUUGCAAAUUCUAUUUAAAUAUGGUAAAUGGUAAAUGGGUUGUACUUGUAUAGCGCUUUUCUACCCCCUUUUUUUUUAAGGAGCCCAAAGCGCUUUGACAGUAUUUCCACAUUCGCCCAUUCACACACACAUUCACACACUGAUGGCGGGAGCUGCCAUGCAAGGCGCUCACCAGGACCCAUCAGGAGCAAGGGUGAAGCGUCUUGCCCAAGGACACAACGGACGUGACUAGGAUGGUAGAAGGUGGGGAUUGAACCAGCAGCCCUCAGAUUGCUGGCACAGCCACUCUACCAACUUCGCCACGCCGUCAAAAUAUCAACAAGAUUCCUCCUAUGUCUAUUGCAAAAAUUUUAAUUUUUUUGGAUUUACUACACACAGUAUAGAUGUAUACAAAAGCCUGUUAGGUGAAAAAAUAAGUCCAAGUCCCUACUUGGAGAGCAGGCAUCCUUGAUGUAAGUUUUUGUCGCUUCUAAAACCAAACAAUGUUUAGACACUUCUGCACCAGUUGCGAUAAACUUGCAGCUUCAAGACUUGUUUCGUCAUAUCUAUGGCUGACAGACGUGUUGUCUCACCGUACUAAAUCUAUUUGCUAAUUUCCUCUUCUUAAUUUGUUAUUCUCUGCUGUAACAUGGUUCAUUUUAGCCUUCUGUUUACGUGUACAAUGCAUUUAUUAUAUUAUUGUUUCACUACUUGUGAAUGUUGUCUGUUUAUCUGUGUUGGCCCUGCGAUGAGGUGGCGACUUGUCCAGGGUGUACCCCGCCUUCUGCCCGAUUGUGCUCCACCACCCAUCCUGACCACUUUUUACAGAGGCACCAUUGAAAGCAUCCUUUCUAGCUGCAUCACUGUGUGGGUGGGGCUACACUCAAUACGACAGAAGAGACCUGCAGCGCAUCGUGAAAACAACUGGGAAAAUCAUUGGUGCACCACUCCCAUCUCUUCAGGACUUAUACACCACCCGCCUCACCCCCAAAGCACUCACAAUUGUGAGUGAUGCAAGCCACACCGCACACAACCUGUUCAGCCUCCUUCCCUCUGGAAGAAGAUACAAGAGCCUCCGCUCUCGCACCACCAGACUCACCAACAGCUUUCACCACCAGGCUGUCAGGUUGCUGAACUCUCUCUCCCCCACUGCGCCCUCAAUCCUCAGCCCAAUCCAACAGGCUGUCAGGACUUUGAAAUCCCCGUCCCCGGAACAACCUGAACUCUAAACCCCAUGAACCACAGAAAAAAUGACUAUGCAAAAUUGCACACAUCUGCUGCUAUAUCAUAAGUAUUUGCACUACUGAUAAAACACUCAUUGUUUACAGCCAUGUCCUAUUUAAAAACAACAGGAACUAUAUAUAUUGUCACUUUAGUAGGUAGACAUAUUCACGUUGCACUUUACUGUUGUGUUUUCUUUUCUUUUUGUCUACGCAUGGGAGAGUGCGAAACAAAAUUUUGAUUCCUUUGUAUGUCUUUACAUGUAAAGAAAUUGACAAAUAAAGCUGACUUGACUUGA